CAGGACUGAUUAUUGUUGUGUUUAUUUAAUUGUGAACUUUCAUUUGCUGAAUGUGGUGUCUGUAAUGUACGGGUGGUGAUGGUGUUGUCUGUUGUUGAUCUUCGGCUGUUUAUGAAGGAGCGUAACGUCUCCACCUUAGAGGAGGCUGUUACAUUGGCUGCUAAUUGGCGUCUGUACAUAGAGCUACCUAAAAUUUGGCACCGGUCCUGAGAGAGGUCAGAGGACUGCACUACCUAGCAAGCUAACAGUGCCAGAGAAUUGAAUAGCAUUAUCAAGACAGAAGAAAUAGGAAACUUUUCCUCCGAUUUACGUAAGGGAAGAUAUGUCAAGGAAGUUAAUUAAGAUGUGAACUGAUGACACUUUCUGAUGACAGACAUGGAACUAUGAUGAAUGUUAUGUUUUCAAGGUAAUACUUCAGCUUUAUUGUGUAAUGUCAACAAAGGUAAUACUUA
rnacentral:lncRNA from 1 species